GAUUUACUCCCUCCGUCCCAAAAUUCUUGUCUUAGAUUUGUCUAAAUACGGAUGUAUCAAGUCACGUUUUAGUAUUAGAUACAUCCGUAUCUAGGCAAAUCUAAGACAAGAAUUUUGGGACGGAGGGAAUAGAAC
rfam:Triticum aestivum genome assembly, contig: Triticum_aestivum_CS42_TGACv1_scaffold_513165_6BS